GUACACUCCUGCGGGAGGCAGCAGUGGGGAAUAUUGGACAAUGGGCGCAAGCCUGAUCCAGCCAUGCCGCGUGAGUGAUGAAGGCCCUAGGGUUGUAAAGCUCUUUCACCGGUGAAGAUAAUGACGGUAACCGGAGAAGAAGCCCCGGCUAACUUCGUGCCAGCAGCCGCGGUAAUACGAAGGGGGCUAGCGUUGUUCGGAUUUACUGGGCGUAAAGCGCACGUAGGCGGACUAUUAAGUCAGGGGUGAAAUCCCGGGGCUCAACCCCGGAACUGCCUUUGAUACUGGUAGUCUUGAGUUCGAGAGAGGUGAGUGGAAUUCCGAGUGUAGAGGUGAAAUUCGUAGAUAUUCGGAGGAACACCAGUGGCGAAGGCGGCUCACUGGCUCGAUACUGACGCUGAGGUGCGAAAGCGUGGGGAGCAAACAGGAUUAGAAACCCUUGUAGUCCCA
rnacentral:rRNA from 1 species